rnacentral:rRNA from 1 species
UACGGAGGGUGCAAGCGUUAUUCGGAUUUAUUGGGCGUAAAGGGCGCGUAGGCGGCUUUUUAAGUCAGAUGUGAAAUCCCGGGGCUUAACCCCGGAAGUGCAUUUGAAACUGGGAAGCUUGAGUAUGGGAGAGGGAAACGGAAUUCCUGGUGUAGCGGUGAAAUGCGUAGAUAUCAGGAGGAACACCAGUGGCGAAAGCGGUUUCCCGGACCAAUACUGACGCUGAGGCGCGAAGGCGCGGGGAUCAAACAGG